rnacentral:rRNA from 1 species
CCUACGGGCGGCUGCAGUGGGGGAUAUUGCACAAUGGGGGAAACCCUGAUGCAGCGACGCCGCGUGAGUGAAGAAGUAUUUCGGUAUGUAAAGCUCUAUCAUCAGGGAAGAAAAUUACAGUACCGGACCAAGAAGCCCCGGGCAACUACGUGCCAGCAGCCGCGGUAAUACGAAGGGGGCGAGCGUUAGCCGGAUUUACUGGGGGUAAAGGGAGCGUAGACGGUUAUGUAAGUCCGGGGUGAAAGCCCGGGGCCCAACCCCGGGACUGCUUUGGAAACUGUGUAACUGGAGUACAGGAGGGGCAGGCGGAAUUCCUGGUGUAGCGGUGAAAUGCGUAGAUAUCAGGAAGAACACCGACGGCGAAGGCGGCCUGCUGGGCUGAAACUGACGUUGAGGCUCGAAAGCGUGGGGAGCAAACAGGAUUAGAUACCCCAGUAGUC